UAAGACCUUAUGCUUUUGGAGCGGCCGAUGUCUGAUUAGCUAGUUGGUGGGGUAAAGGCUUACCAAGGCGACGAUCAGUAGUUGGUCUGAGAGGACGACCAGCCACACUGGGACUGAGACACGGCCCAGACUCCUACGGGAGGCAGCAGUGGGGAAUUUUGGACAAUGGGCGAAAGCCUGAUCCAGCAAUGCCGCGUGAGUGAAGAAGGCCUUCGGGUUGUAAAGCUCUUUCAGUUGAGAAGAAAAGGUUGUGACUAAUAAUCACAGCCCAUGACGGUAUCAACAGAAGAAGCACCGGCUAACUACGUGCCAGCAGCCGCGGUAAUACGUAGGGUGCGAGCGUUAAUCGGAAUUACUGGGCGUAAAGGGUGCGCAGGCGGUUCUGUAAGUCAGAUGUGAAAUCCCCGGGCUUAACCUGGGAACU
rnacentral:rRNA from 1 species